GUUUUUGUAGUUGAAGUACAACAACAGUUUUUCAUGCUGUAGGUCUAGGUUGAAGUCCUGGCAGGAAUA
rnacentral:tRNA from 1 species